UCCUGGCUCCUUACCUCGGUCUCUGCUGGUUCGUUGCAGCUCUCUGUCCAUCUUGCGGAAUCUGGGGAUUGAGUUAAUAAAGCGCAGUUUAGAUCCCGCACCACAAGAGGACUCUCCUCCCACAGUAACUGCUCAAAUUACACAGCUCAUUUUCAAGGAAGUCUCGUCCUGGUGUUUUCUACUGACAAGGCUGAAGAAAUCCCGCUAGGACAGCAGCACUGAGAGACUUCAGGAGACACAGUUUGAACAGUUUUCCUCUAUCCUUAACUGAUACAGAAUCACACAGGUGCUGUACUGUAUUCCUGUUUCCUAAAGCUGAAUUUCAUAAUGCAGAAGUAACCUGUGGUUUUCAUCAUUUUCUGAACGUGUAGGAAUCCCAGAUUUCCCUAUGGAUGUAUGACUGCUUCUGCUUACCACACACACCUUAUUAUGGCAGACUUAUUCUUUCUUGUUCUUUUUCAUAGGUCUCUUAAAUAGCCCUCAAAUAACAGCCAGCAGUCACAGAUCUGGGAUUACCAUGAAGGAGAGGAAAUAUCAGAUAAUACAGCACAGAGAUACAAUGAGAAAUCAGUGCAGGCUUGCAUUACUUAAAGCUAUUCUUGCCAAAAGAUUUUAAGUAAUAACUAUGAAACAGCUAGACACACAACCAGUGUUGAAUAACUCAUUUCCAAUUUCUGCUGUGGGGAACCCUGAAGAACAUUCUGCUGUUUAAUGGGGACAGUAUUUCAGAACUGCUUGUGAGCCUGGGGGAGCUUCAGGGCUGGGAAUCUGGAGCUCUCUUGAGGCAUUGCUCAGUAACAACUGACCAGGGGAAACUAUACAUCAAGAAAAAAAUACAAAGGCUUAUAUUUGAUAGUGCAUUGAUACUGCAAACCUGCAAGGGAGAAGCUGAAGGACAGAAGGAGGGUUUGUAAAAUGACAAAUCAAAGCAGAAGACGUGGGAUGUGGCUCCAUCCUGAUUUCAGGGUUCAGAAGAAAGACAGG